rnacentral:tRNA from 1 species
GCCCCCGUAUCCCAACUGGCAGAGGAAGGGGACUUAAAAUCCUCACAGUAUGGGUUCGAAUCCCAUCGGGGGCA